ACCAGUGCUCAGUCAGCUGACCAGGUGAUGUGUCUGGCUCAGUGUUACAGCGCUGGUAGAGUAUGUGGCUGUACUGGUUCUAAGCUCUGCAGGUUCUGUUUUAGAGUCUGCUGCAUCUGAGCCGUACAGUGCAUGGCCCAACGAGAGUGGCCUGUCCUGAUCCAACAGCAGGACAGGCCUAGUGCAGGGCCGCACAUU
ensembl:snoRNA SNORA74 Small nucleolar RNA SNORA74